GAUUGGUAUCAAUCUUACGGACGAGGAAAGCAAUUGGCUCCCUAACAACAAAUCGAGGAGGCUAAAUUGCAGUGUAAGGGGAAAGUGUAAUCUGGGGUUUGGCACCAAAACUUUGACAAAACAUAAGCUACUGUUCCUUUGAGAGUAUCAAAUCUAUUUUCAUGGCCGAGUCUGCAGUUUCCUUCGCUGUCGAAAGGAUUGGUGACGCACUCCUUCAAAAAGCAAUUUUCUUGAAAGGGGUGCAUGAGCAAGUCGAUCGGAUGCAGAGAGAGCUGAAGCGGAUGCAAUGCUUCUUGAAAGAUGCGGAUGCAAAGCAGCAAGAAGAUGAGAGGGUGCGCCACUGGGUUUCUGAGAUCCAGGAUGUUGCUUAUGAUGCUGAGGACGCUAUAGAUGCCUUUAUCUUCAAUGUAGAGUCUGGAAGGACAAAGUUCUUCCCCUGCCGCAUGUUCAAAAAGCUGGUGAGUUCUUGUAAGGUUGGCAAGGAAAUUGAAGCCAUCCAAAUUAAGAUCCAGGACAUCUCGAAGAGUCGGGAAACGUACGGAAUCAAUAGCAUUGGAGAAGCAACUAGUCAAGCAGGUCAGAGGCUACAAAAGCUAAGAUAUAUCUCUCCUCUUGUAAAAGAAGAGAUUAUUGUGGGCCUCAAGGAAGACACUGAUAAGCUCGUGGAGCAGCUUGUGAAAGGGGAUGAAAGACGCCGUGCCGUUUCUAUAGUAGGAAUGGGCGGCAUAGGCAAAACUACUCUUGCCAAAAAAGUCUACAACGAUAGCCAAGUCAUGGGUUAUUUUCGGUUUUGUCGUGCCUGGGCUUAUGUAUCCCAAGAUUGUAGACCCAGAGACGUUUUCCAGAAUAUUCUAAACCAAAUUCCCUAUAAACCAAAUGAAGAUGAAGCAAAGAAGAUAGAGAAAAUGCAAGAGCACGAGUUCGGGGAUUUCCUUCACGAGCGUCUGAAGGAGAAAAGAUUUUUGGUAGUUUUGGAUGACAUAUGGGAAAGUGACGAUUGGAAAUGCCUUGCAAAGGCGUUCCCAGAGGAGAACAAUGGCAGCAGAUUACUUCUUACAACUAGAAACAAGAAUGUUGCUUUGCAAGCAGAUGCUCAAAGUGUUCCCUACGAAGUGAAACUUCUCUCCGAAGAAGAGAGUUGGAAGUUGUUUUGUAGAAGUGCAAUCCCUGGCAAUGUUACCGAGAGUUGUCCUCCAGAGUUAAAGGAACUUGGGGAAAAGAUGGUGAAGAAAUGCGCUGGUUUACCAUUGGCUAUUGUUGUAUUGGGAGGCUUGCUAUCAUCCAGAACGCAGUUACUGACUGUGUGGGAAGAAGUGUUCAACAAACUCCGGGCGCACUUCGCAGUAAGCAAUGGAGUAGAUGCAAUAUUGAGCUUAAGCUACAUCGAUCUGCCCCACAACUUGAAAUCCUGCUUUCUUUAUCUAGGCCUCUUUCCAGAAGAUAAGGUUAUCUCCAAGAGACGUUUACUCCUUCUAUGGAUUGCGGAGGGUUUUAUUACACAACAAGAUGAACAGAGACUGGAGGACACCGCUGAGGAUUAUUUGAAUCAGUUAAUCAACAGAAACUUGGUUCAAGUGGUGUCAGUGAGUGUUAAUGAGAGAGUCACACGAUGUCGGAUUCAUGAUCUAGUACGGGAUUUAUGCAUAAAAAAGGCGAAGGAGCAAAACUUUUUUGAGAUUAAAAAUGACAUAGUUUCUCCUUCCUCAACUAGUUCAUCUCUCCCUUCAACCAAAUCCCGUCGACUAGGUAUCUAUUUAGACUUCAAGAGGUAUGCUUCCAAACAAAAUUCAACUUCAUACGUUCGUUCUCUCCUCUUUUUUGGAGACCGACCUCUAUCCUCAAAUUUUAUUUAUAAGUAUUUCAAAUUGCUUAGAGUGUUGGACUUGGAAGCAGUAGGUAUCAUAAGCCAACCAAAUUCACUUGGGAAACUAGUUCAUUUAAGAUACUUGACAUUAAAGAGGGUUGAAAAUUUCAAUGACCCAUACCUUUUGAGCUUCUUAGGUAAGUUAAAAGGUUUACAAACUCUGGGUGUAGAAUUUUCCACAGAAGUACCAAUUCUGAUACAAAAAAUGGAAAAUCUACGAUACCUUUUCCUCUCGUAUUAUAAAAAAGUUGGCAAACCAUUACAAAUUGAUACCCUGAGAAAUCUUCAAACUCUCUCAGGCAUAUAUUUUAGUGAUUGGCAACAAAAUGACACAAGCGAGUUCACUAGCCUUCGAAAAUUGAAAAUAGAAGUGGAUGAUGUGACAGUGGCUGAGUUUUCAAACUCCAUUGCUAAGCUUGCGAAUCUUCGCUCCUUGUAUCUUGAGGCAGUAUCACCUAACUUUAUUCCAUGCUUUGUCAUGAAUUCUUGGCUUCAUCUAUCUAAGUUGCUGUUGAAAGGAUCAAUACCGAUGUUACCUAAAGCAGAUGAGUUCCCGCCAAGUUUAACACAAUUGACGUUGGAAAAUAUUAGGCUAGGCCAUGGCCAUAUGAUGAUUUUAGAGAAGUUGCCAAAAUUGUUGAUUUUCAGAUUAAGAAGAAUGUCCAAAUACCUUGAAGAGGAAAUGCAAGUAUCUGCAGAUGGCUUUCCUCAACUCAAAAUCCUUCAACUUUCUGGCUUACGAACAUCACCAAGGUUGUUGAUUAUAAAUAAGGGUGGCAUGCCAAAACUUACUCACUUGCAGAUUUUUGAAUGUUACUUCAACAUCGAUGGACUUGGUGAGCUCUUACAUCUAAGGAAGGUAGAUGUCAAUGUUGCAUAUCAUCGUUGGAUUUCUUCCUUGCCAUAUCCUUCUGAAUGGCAUAAAAUUAGAAGCAAGACAGAAGAGGGAAAAGAAGGCCACAUUAUAUGGCAUUUUUACCGUUGAUGAUUGCUGGGGUUAUAAGCAGUAGCACAAGAAGAUUGGUGAAUCCAUACCUGAUCAAGACCUAGUCGGGCACACUGGAUUGAAUAAGGGUGCAAUUCACUUUCAUUACAGAUGAUUGCUGAGGCCUAUGCAGCAAUAUGAGAAAAUUGUUUGUGCAUGGUGUGUUUGGUUGCAUGAAAAUUUGUAUAAUUCUUUUGUAUAUUACUGUAAAUUAUGCGAGUUGAUAAGUGAUUAAGACCUAUCAAAGUGUGUGUUUUUCUGUUCCUGUUAUUGUAAUAAUUUGUUACUGAGAUUGUAUGCAUUUAUCUAUUCUUAUGAAUAGCAAUGAGAGCGGAUUUUCUAUGGCCAAGACCAAAAUGAUCCAUCUAUUGAAUUGUGAAGCUUGAAUCAGUCCUAUUGCGAUAUGCAGGGGAUAUCAGAAGUUGAACUCCCAGUUAAGAUUCUUAUCCACUAAAAUUACUCUUAUAAAGAGGCAAAAGAUUUUCAUGUAAUCAUAUAGUUUUGGUAACAAAUCCCACA